AUUGUAUAGAAGUAAAAAUUUACAUUUAAUUUCGACUUAAAGUUUAAGAACCUACUAUUCUUCAUACAAUU
rnacentral:tRNA from 1 species